UGGCACAAGGGACUUUGCAGGUGUAAUGAUGAUACUGAGAUGAGGAGAGUCUCCUGGGUAUCCAGGUGGGUCCACUGUAAUCACAAGGGUCCUUAUAAAAGACAGGCAGGUACGUCUGAGUCAGAGCCAGGGAAGGAAAUACAAAGAUGUGGGCCGAGAUGUGUCUGUGUGAGUGAGAGAAUGGAAGGGAGGAAGGGGAGAAGAGGAGGGAGAGAGAGAUUAAAUUGCUGCACUGCUGCUGGCUUUGAUUACAGAGACAGGACCAAGAGCCAAGGCAUGCUGGCAGCCCAGAAGCUGAAAAAGGCAAGCAAGUGGAUUCCACCCCAGAGCCUCCAGUAGCAACAAGCCUGACACCUUGACUUUAACCCAGUGUUGAUAACAGGCUCAUUACACUUAAGUGUGAGCUUAAACUUGGAAUGUCGCAUUUGAAAAGAAGGUGCUGAAAGCAAUUUUAAAACGUCUUUGUGUCUCUGCUAAAACUAAUUAAAUGAAACGGAAGAAAAGAAGCGCUGUCACCUUUGUGUCAAACCAGCUUACUGUGCGCUCUGACACAAAAUGGAAACCGGAAAGGAAGUGGGGCUUGGCCGUUGAGAGUGAAAUAAAUUUGGUGUUGGUUCAUUCUGCACUCUUCGCAAGGAUGCUGACAGAAAUUUCACGUGCGAUUCUAAUGACUAAAUGUGAGCUGCGAUUAGCUCUCUAUGGGAAAGCCAUGGGAAAUCCACUUACCCCAAAAGAUCAGGAAAUUAAAAGUAAAUUUCAGAAGAGCUGCAUUUGAUAUUUUUUUGGCUUGAAAAAUGAAGUGAGAGCUUUAUUAUAAGAAAUUAUAUUCCCGGUUCUGUUUACCUCCGACUGCUUUGGAAAAAUGAAAAAUGAUAUUGUACUGACUGAAAAAGAGGAGCCUCUCACCAUUAGAACCUAGAAAGAGAAGUCAUCUGAAAAUGAAUGGGAAAGGCGAAACUCUAGGAAUUGACACAGAUGGGUUGAGGGGGCAGAACUGUUUUUUUUUUUUUUUUUUUUUGUAUCGUGGCUUUUAUGGUGCUUGCAUACUCUGCUUUUGUCCAAAGUCACUGGCCUGGACAUCCAAAAGAGUAAGGUUCUGUGCAUUUAAAUUAGCCAAAAAUUCAGUGUAUACACACACACACACACACACACACACACAGAAAAAAAAAAUCAUAACCAAAAGUAGUUGGAAGUUAAUUUUAAGUUGCAAAAUUUCCUUACUCUGUCUUUUUAAAUCUCUUGACAUGGUUUCAGAUUCGAGGCAAGCGAAGGCAAGAAAGAGAGUCAGAGGGAAACUACUUUGUGCCCUGAGGGUUGUUUAUCCUGAGUUCACCACAGAGCUUUUUUUUCGAAUUAUUUUGAAAAAAGUUAAAAUGCUAUUUCAACAGUAGGGGAAACAAAUAUAUCCAACACCGCAGUCACCACCCAGGGUUAACAAAUGUUAACAUUUUGUUGUUUCUGCUGCAGAUUUUUUUUCUACAUAGAUAAAGUAGAACUUCCUAAAUAAAGGUGAAGUCUGCCUUAUUUUCCUCUCCAGGCAUGCUCUACGACUUCCAAAAAUGAUUUUGAGAAAGAAUAGACCAAAAAAUGUGGGGGAACAUUGUGAAUGCUCUCUUGAGGGCGUGGAAGGAUUUCGUCACAUUCACCGCAUAAUCACUGAGUGCACAUGGCCACAGUUGGUGCUUUGGGGAAGACAAGAUUAAUACACACAUGGUAACAUACAAAAGACACAUAAACACAUGGCGACUAGCUGGGUACACAGAGCUAACUGUGGUUCUGGGCACACUUAGUUUAAUGACGAGGGUGGAAAGGAUUAGUGAACCUGGGUGUCCACGACCAAGAUGCAGUUUUUCCAGCUUUCUCAUCCACUGCCCCCAAGAACUCUUGGGGUAAAGUCAGUCCGGAUUAGAGGGAAAAAAAGCAAGACACAAUAGGUCUGCGCUUAGCAGAAUUACUAAAGUUUUUUGCUUUAAGGAGGAUCAAACCAAAGAGACCACAAGAGAAAACAAAUUUGGUGCUAAUGCUGAAUCUGCCACGUUAAUUUAAAAGAAAAUAACUGUAGAUGGCUUUUCAAAUUGCAAAAACUGCCUGAGCUGUCCAAAUGUCCCCACUCCCUUUCUCCUGCAUGCCUGUCUCUGACAAGAAAAUUGCUAGUCUUAAUCCGAAAUAAAGCAAUUACCACAUA